AUGAACGCUGGCGGUAUGCUUAACACAUGCAAGUCGAACGGUCACUUCGGUGAUAGUGGCGGACGGGUGAGUCACGCGUGAGAAUCUGUCUUCAGGUCGGGGACAACAGUUAGAAAUGACUGCUAAUACCGGAUGUGCCUUUGGGUGAAAGAUUUAUUGCCUGAAAAAGAGCUCGCGUCAGAUUAGCUAGUAGGUGGUGUAAGAGACUACCUAGGCUCCGAUCUGUAGCUGGUCUGAGAGGACGAUCAGCCACACUGGAACUGAGACACGGUCCAGACUCCUACGGGAGGCAGCAGUGGGGAAUUUUCCGCAAUGGGCGAAAGCCUGACGGAGCAAUACCGCGUGAGGGACGAAGGCUUUUGGGUCGUAAACCUCUUUUCUCAAGGAAGAUGAUGACGGUACUUGAGGAAUAAGCAUCGGCUAACUCUGUG
rnacentral:rRNA from 1 species